rnacentral:rRNA from 1 species
UGCAUAUCCCAAAAAGCGGAGGAAAAGAAACUAACCAGGAUUCCCCUAGUAACGGCGAGUGAAGCGGGAAGAGCUCAAAUUUGUAAUCUGGCGCCUUUGGCGUCCGAGUUGUAAUCUCGAGAAGUGUUUUCCGCGCCGGGCCGGACCUAAGUCUGUUGGAAUACAGCGCUCGAUGGGUGACAGCCCCGUCUGUGGUUUGGAUUUCCGGUGCUUUGUGAUACACUUUCGAAGAGUCGAGUUGUUUGGGAAUGCAGCUCAAAGUGGGUGGUAAAUUCCAUCUAAAGCUAAAUAUUGGCGAGAGACCGAUAGCGAACAAGUACCGUGAGGGAAAGAUGAAAAGCACUUUGGAAAGAGAGUUAACAGUACGUGAAAUUGUUGGAAGGGAAACGCUUGACGUCAGACUUGCGUGCUGGAGUUUCAGCCCUUCUGGGUGUAUUCUCUGGCGUUGCAGGCCAGCAUCAGUUUCUGGGGACUGAGAAGGGUCGGAGGAAGGUAGCAUCUCCGGAUGUGUUAUAGCUUCCGACUGGAUUAGUCUUUGGGGACUGAGGAAGGCAGCACGCUCUUUCAUUAGGGCAAGUCUCUCGAGACUUUCGUGCUAGGAUGCUGUUAAAAGUUCCC